UACAGAGGGGGCAAGCGUUGUUCGGAAUUACUGGGCGUAAAGGGCGCGUAGGCGGCCUUCUAAGUCGAACGUGAAAUCCCCGGGCCCAACCCGGGAACUGCGUCCGAUACUGGAAGGCUUGAAUCCGGGAGAGGGAUGCGGAAUUCCAGGUGUAGCGGUGAAAUGCGUAGAUAUCUGGAGGAACACCGGUGGCGAAGGCGGCACCCUGGACCGGCAUUGACGCUGAGGCGCGAAAGCCAGGGGAGCAAACGGG
rnacentral:rRNA from 1 species